rnacentral:lncRNA from 12 species
AUACGUAGAAAAUAUGGUCUUGAGAUCCUCAGAUGUCGCAUCGGCUCGUCCUAAAUACAUUACAAAACAGUGAUGGGGGACAUUUGUCGAUUAGGUCAAGGAGGAUUUGCUGAUUGUGGAUUCCACCUACUUCAAGGCGAAAGAAUGUCAUAAGGAGCCAUGUUUUAGGUUAAUCCCAUUAAUAUGUCCCUUCCCUGAAGAUGUUAACAUCUAGACUAGCUCAUGCCAAGCCAGAAGCCGUCAGACUGAAUCCAACAGGCUCUAGGAGCAAGAGGCCGAGGGCGUCCAUGAGCACAGGAACGGCCUCUAGAUCCUAGUUCUCACACGUCCUGAAACAGCCUGAACUCGGGACGUCGCGCUCACCGACCCCCGGCAAAGGAGCACUCAGGUGACCGGACGUAGAGAUCCCUCCUGAAGAGCUGAGGGGCAUCCUCCCCACGACCUGGCGAUCCUCCUUGCACAAACGCCGCAGCCCAGCUGGCUUUCUAGCGCCUUAAAGCACAGGCACUGAGUGGCCAUCGCGGCCAUCGCGGCCACUCCAAUCUUGCUUCCAAAGGACCGCAGCUUAAUCUUGUCUUGGCAAGUCACACCUGCGUCCCCUGCGCAGACCAGCUGUUUCAGGAAAGCGUCACGGGGAACAGGAAGCGUCUGCAGGAACUCUACAAACUCGCAGCCCUCUCCCGACGCGCACCCGCUCAUUCUGCCCAUCCGUGUGGCCGAUCAGCAGAUGCCCAGGAGUGCCUCGUGUGCCUGGCACCGUGCUGCGCCGUGGGAGACGGCCGUCGACCCAGGCCACGAGGUGCUGUCCUGCCAGGGUGGACGCCCUUGGACGUCGCCCAAGGUAACACUCCGGCAGGAUCGCCUGUGGGGCCGGGGCACACGACAUGGCAGGUGGAACAGGGCGCUCCGGGAAGUAAAACUGGGCCAGGGUGAUGCCUAAGUUAGUUUGAAGAAUCAGAAAAGUAACACAAGCCUGAGACCUAAAGGAUGGGCAGGUGUUUGUGAUUUUUCUUGUUUGUUUUCCAGAGAAGAAGUAGGGGAAAGCAUUCCAGGCAGAAAGGACGGAAGCGCAUUCCACGAGGGGUCCAGAGCUGUUUGAAACCGCGACUCUUCCCUGAGGCAUAAAGACAUCUGAGGCAUCGGGUCUCAUCUGUGCCAGUGGGAGCCGGGUCUACGGACGAGUUAGUGAAGUUUAGCAUCUUGCAGGGGCUAAAAACUGGCUUCUUCGGGGCACCGAUGAGCCCAGCCUCCUCGCUCACGUGGUGAGAGGGGGAGGCUCCGGGAUGCCCGCGCUUCCGCGGGUGGGAAGAGCGCUGCGUCGGUAUCUCUCGUCCACUGGAAACUGGCACGAUUUUUUUUUUUCAUUUAAGAUUAUUUUGUCAAAUAGCAUGAAACGUUCUGAGUCACAGAUCCCCUCCGGGAUAGAAUGUGGGAGAUCCUUUUUUUAAAAAAAAUUUGUUUUGGGGGGUAUAAUGGACAAAUAAUUGACAAGUCACGUAAAGUGUGCACGUGGUGAUCUGGGACGCAGGCCGUCGUGCGAGAUCCCCCCCAGGUAAUGAACACCUCUCACUCACGUGUUUCCCUUUUGUGCGUGCUUCCGUGCGUGUGAGAGAACACUGAAGUCCUGCUCUCCCGGCCAGUUCCGCUGUCAGGUCCAGUCGCAUGUUCUGUAUCAGGAGCUCAGAGCUUGUCACAGAAAGAUAAGGAGUAACAGGUGCCGGUGGGGACGCGGGCACAGGGCCGCCCGGGGCCUUGGUGGGAACGGAAGCGGGCGGGCCACCGUGGACUGCCGGGCGGACGGUCCUCAAAAAAUUAAACGUAGCGCCGCCGCGGCUGCUCCGAACGCCCCG